UUCUCCAUGAGGUUUUGAAAGCUUAGAGGAUGAGAUGGAAAACCAAAGUGAGGCUGAUGAAACAAGGAAAACAUCUCAUGUGCUGGAGGACUUUUGUUUGAUCUAUUCAUCUUUCAUCUGUACUGGUGGAGUGCUUGGCAGUUCACAAAUUAUCACCCUAGCAACACUGAUGGUCCAGCUCCCUCAUUUAUAACAGAGAUGUUACUAAGACUGUCAGCACUAUGAAGUGAUCUAGGCAGAAAAGUUCAUCUCAGAAAAACAGCACAUGGCAUCCUUCCAGUACACAGACCAGGGACAAGCCAAGGGAAGCCUGGAGCCUGCAAAAAUGUUGAGUUCAGAAGUCAAAAGGCUUAGACUAAGAAGGUAACAAUCAUUCAACAAUCUGGAUCAGACUACAUGAUCACAAAAUGUUGGGAUGAGCAAUUCCUGAGGUCUUAAAAGAACACAGUGCUUAAUUUCUAGAGAAAGUAGUGACAUGAUCCUAAAUAGUACAUAUCAGAACCAAACAAGGUUUCAUCAUUUUUUUCAAAGGUGUGUUCUAACUACACCCAGACAAAAUCCUAAUUUAGGAAAUAAGGACAAUUUUACAACAUGACUAACAUAACUAAAUAAGUAUUUUGAUAAUACAUAUAUGACCUAUAUCAUAUUACUUGCCAUCCUGGUGAAGGGCAAUAGGGAGAAAACAUCUAUUGUAAAAUGUCAAAAAUUAUUAACUAUUGUAUUUACAUGUGAAAAUGUUAAAUAUAAAAUUUGAAAAGGAAAG
rnacentral:lncRNA from 1 species